rnacentral:rRNA from 1 species
AUUGAACGCUGGCGGCAGGCCUAACACAUGCAAGUCGAACGGUAACAGGAAGCAGCUUGCUGCUUCGCUGACGAGUGGCGGACGGGUGAGUAAUGUCUGGGAAGCUGCCUGAUGGAGGGGGAUAACUACUGGAAACGGUAGCUAAUACCGCAUAAUGUCGCAAGCCAAAAGAGGGGGACCUUCGGGCCUCUUGCCAUCGGAUGUGCCCAGAUGGGAUUAGCUUGUUGGUGGGGUGACGGCUCACCAAGGCGACGAUCCCUAGCUGGUCUGAGAGGAUGACCAUCCACACUGGAACUGAGACACGGUCCAGACUCCUACGGGAGGCAGCAGUGGGGAAUAUUGCACAAUGGGCGCAAGCCUGAUGCAGCCAUGCCGCGUGUAUGAAGAAGGCCUUCGGGUUGUAAAGUACUUUCAGCGGGGAGGAAGGGAGUAAAGUUAAUACCUUUGCUCAUUGACGUUACCUGCAGAAGAAGCACCGGCUAACUCCGUG